rnacentral:rRNA from 1 species
AGAGUUUGAUCCUGGCUCAGGAUGAACGCUAGCGGGAGGCCUAACACAUGCAAGUCGAACGGGAUUGAGAGCUUGCUCUCAUGAGAGUGGCGCACGGGUGAGUAACGCGUAUGCAACCUACCUAUAUCUGAGGGAUAGCCCAUAGAAAUGUGGAUUAAUACCUCAUAGUUCUUUUGAUCCGCAUGGAUUAAAAGAUAAAGCUCCGGCGGUUAUAGAUGGGCAUGCGUGACAUUAGCUAGUUGGUAAGGUAACGGCUUACCAAGGCUACGAUGUCUAGGGGUUCUGAGAGGAUGAUCCCCCACACUGGUACUGAGACACGGACCAGACUCCUACGGGAGGCAGCAGUGAGGAAUAUUGGUCAGUGGGCGCAAGCCUGAACCAGCCAUCCCGCGUGCAGGAUGAAGGCCCUAUGGGUCGUAAACUGCUUUUAUACACCAAGAAAAACACCCACGUG